CCCCCGUCCCCCCCCCCCCCCUCCCCCGCCUUCCCGCCCUAGAGGCCCAGCCCCCACUGCGGGCAGCCUCAGCGCAGAGGGCUGGGGUCUCCUGGGUGGGCCGUCCCCGCUCCUCUAACCAGGUACAGUGGCCCCUGGGGCCGUAAGAGUGGAUCCCUGGCCCCCUCCCUCCCACACUGCCAGCAGUGCCCACUCCCCUGAAACUCGAGGGGCUGUUCAAGGGUCUGGAAGCUGGGGUGAGGGGGACUCGGUAUCAUUUUGUCCUUUUCUUCGUUGGUUCGGUUUGCUUUGUUUUUUUUCUUUUUUAGAUAGGGUCUUGCUCUGUAGCCUAGGCUGCCUUUGAACUCCUCCUGCCUCAGCCUCCCAAGUGCUGGGAUGACAGGCGUGAGCCACCCUGCCCAGACUGACAUUUUCCCCUCUGGACCUCUAGAGGUGGGGGAAGAUGCCCAAGAGAGGAGCAGGCGUUAGGCAGAAUGUGGACCCCAAAGCACGCACCCUCCGUUCUGCAGUGCUAUACAGCUCCCCUCAACCUCAGAGGGGACCCAAGAGAGCGUGGGCCCUGGGGGAGACAGGGCUCCGUGAACGCCUCCUAUCUGUCCACAUCGCACAAGUAUUCACACCCAGACACACAGGUGCACACAGCCGCGGGACGCACACCACCCCAAGUGCGCACCCUGUCCACACCGUCACACAGGUGUGUGGCACCCCCCCAGGGCACCCGAACUCUCCUCGCACUUCUAGCACCACUGGGACGUGCUUGAGGCAAGCACACACUCGCGUGCACCAGCACACACUCGCGUGCACCAGCACACACAGGCAUCACAGAGGUCAGGCGCACCCCGGGUGCAUGGUGGGGACAGGCCUGGCCCGGCACUCGCCGAGCUGGCCGUGGAGGGCGGCAGCCCCGCCAGCCCCUCCAGGNCCGAGGUCACAGCCAGGGCUCCAGGCGGGGCUGCACCCUGCACCCCGCCCUUUGCUGAUCUUCCCUGGCGCCUGGGCUGGCAGGCUCCUGUGCAGGCCCCACGCGAACUAA
rnacentral:lncRNA from 1 species